CACACAUAUUUUCACAUGGCCUUAAUAUAAAAUUAAUAAGCGUAACAGUUUUGUUGGCGUUUCGUUACCAUGGAGCAUGACACAAUUUCGAAAACUUCUUUUUACGUUUAGUUCCAAACCAAGGAAAAGCAUAUAUUAUUGUGAGGAAGGGAUGAUGACGAUUGUAUAAAAGGGGGAGGGAGGCAUUCGCCAGUGCGUGGUUUAACUGUAUAACCUGUUUGGUAGCAAUAAGGAAAUGAAAACGUUUGUAAAAGCAAGCACAAGUUUUUCAUACCCUGACAGGGCCAUUUAAUGUUACAGUUAGACUCAAGUAAAUAACGGUCUAAAAUGUUUAAAGGAACGACAAGUUUUCGACCAC